CAACUAGCCAACUUUUCUUUUUUUGGUAAAAACUGUAAUUUUUUUGCACAAACAUAAGCAAAAGAUUAUUUUUUAGUGAGGAAAUGGGAAGUGAAAAGCUGGACUGCCUAAAAACAGAAACAUGUAUACGCAUAGUGCUAAACGGAUCGGUGGGAAGUUAUCCAGGAGUAACGACGGCGGAGAUUCCUGCAUCUGCCAUGGAUUUCGUGUGUGACUGGGGGUAAGCCACUUCACCAAUUUUAUAGAUGUUUUCUGCUCACGUGCAUCCUCUUUUACAUCCUUUUGGCCUGUGUGCUGGGAAGCACACCUAUUUCAAAGAGGAUUAGCACACACCUGCCAUCCAGACAAGCCAAAAGACAGUUUCCAGGCUCAGACAAAAAGUCAGGGAGUCAGGGAGUCCAGCAUCUCCUCUGAACCUGUGAUGGUGCCUGUGCAGGUGCAAGGUUCAUGCAGUUUGACUUUAGUCAUCUGUGAUGUAGGUUUCUCCACCUGAGCUGAUCAGUUCAGCUCCUGUCAGAGUCGAUGGCAGGCACUUUUUGGGUAUGAUUCAUCUCCUCUGAAUGCAGGCAUCUGGGGUGGGAUUCAGCUUCAGAUUAAGACACCCAGCUUUAAAGGUGCAUCUCAUUAAACAUGUCUAGUAUUAUUUCAGAUCUCAAGGUCUGCUGUCUGGCCUCUAG
rnacentral:lncRNA from 1 species